GGGGAAUAUUGCACAAUGGAGGAAACUCUGAUGCAGCGACGCCGCGUGAGUGAAGAAGUAGUUCGCUAUGUAAAGCUCUAUCAGCAGGGAAGAUAGUGACGGUACCUGACUAAGAAGCUCCGGCUAAAUACGUGCCAGCAGCCGCGGUAAUACGUAUGGAGCAAGCGUUAUCCGGAUUUACUGGGUGUAAAGGGAGUGUAGGUGGCCAGGCAAGUCAGAAGUGAAAGCCCGGGGCUCAACCCCGGGACUGCUUUUGAAACUGCAGGGCUAGAGUGCAGGAGGGGCAAGUGGAAUUCCUAGUGUAGCGGUGAAAUGCGUAGAUACUAGGAGGAACACCAGUGGCGAAGGCGGCUUGCUGGACUGUAACUGACACUGAGGCUCGAAAGCGUGGGGAGCAAAC
rnacentral:rRNA from 1 species